UUCGCGCGUGCAACGCGCCUGCGCGUUCUCGUGACGUGUAAGCCCUGGAAAGAGGAACGAGGAGGGAAGAAUACGAUGUACACGAGAAAAGGUAAGCAAUGAAAAGAGCGAGCAAGGUAGAGUAAUAUAUAGAUGAAGAGGGAAGAAAACGAGGAAGGAAGAGAAACGAGCAAUAUGGCAGCGUAGGAGUGGGACGGAGGGUAACCGAGGACGCAGAUGGUACGGAGUCCUCGAAGGAACCGAAAAGACGAAAGAGAGAACCACUGCGUGUUACACCGUUCUACUCGAAAAACUUCGUAACCAUACGCUUUCCCCAUGACUAACAGGUGGAAGGCGUUUGAAACGUGCAGCUUUCCUCGAGAUUAGCAGGUGGAGGAUACUAUUGGUGCCUCGUGCCGCGGAUUAUUUCGAACCAGAUCUGGAGAAACCACCUUCCCUUGUAGAAAGCAUAUGGACGAUUUAGCGAUUUAGGUAGAGAUCGUUUGACUUUUCAACGUUAAUAUCGCAAAAAAAUAACGAUCAAAUUAAGAUAAUAUUAAACGAAAUUUUCCAACAAAAGUUUUUAUUUCUUUUUAAAAUGAAUUUUCAUGGCGGAAAAUAUAAGCCAACCGACGCUGUUCGUUACAACGCGAAGAUAUAGCAGUGGACACUUCUCGCAAAUUAUAUAUUAAAGAGAAACGAUUUUCCAACGGUACCAGAGAAAGAAAUUCUUGCUUUGAGAAAAGUUAUCGUCACAAAUAAGAAAGUAAUAUAGCUGCAGGAUCGAUAGACAGUAGUAAAGUGUAGCGGAGAAUAUGUUUUAUUGAUGACUUAUUGCUGGAAUCGAUCGUCGGUUCCACGCUAGCAAAUAGAGUAACAGUAUACAUAUGCUUCAUAGUCACUGAAAAUUAUAGCAUUAUCAUUCGCUACUGUUUGUAGAUAUGUAUUAAAAAUUUUUUUCGAAAAUUGUACUAAUUUUUCCACUGUCGAUCAUCAAAUAUAUUUGUUUCAAUUUUAUUACAUUA